GUUCUUAAUCUAUUAAUCUUGCUUUAAAAUAAGCACAAUUAACAGUUUUAUUUUAGAGAAGAAGGAGCAGAGGGUGGAUUCUCGCUGCUUGAUAUGUCUGAGGUGGCAAUGAAGCAGCUGAGAGCGGUGGAAGCAUUUAAUAAUUCACCCAAAUUAUUUCUGUCAGGACUGACAAGCUAAACAGGGCCUUGAUUUAAUUCUGUAAUUGCACGUUCACCUUUACCCUGAACCCAUACUUUGGUAAUUAAUAGGACCGAGCUUUAUUUGAAGUGUGGCACGGCAAGUAAUGGAAUUCAAAUUGCAGGUGAUGUGAAACCAAAGAUGUGAAUGCCCGCUUGGCCAAGGAGCUUGUGUUAUUUCCUCCACCACGGUGUCACCCGGAGGAGAACGGUGCCAAAAAGUGGCACAAACCUUCAAUCAACCUCCAGACCUAAUCCUCUGCUCCUGCAUUUGGAAGACCAUCUGUCUAGUGUUAAAAGCAGCUAUGAACUCCUGAGAGGCAGCCAGCAGGAAAGAAGUUACUUGACCUGGUUCAGCUUCAAGCACUUCAUAAUUGUGACAGCAUGUGAAUCAGCUGAAUGACUGUGGGUGUAAAGCCUGCUGUUAGCACCAGUGCUGCACACUGCACAACUGGAUGUGUCCUGCAGUCAUAGAUGUUCUGCUGGUGCGGUUGGUGGUAAAGGCUUUUACAGUGGAGUUGCACUAAGUAGAACUGUGAUGGUUGGAGAAGGAGGUGAGGAAGGGAAAAAUAAGCCCAGAAAGGAAAGGGGACAACUGAAAAAGACAAAGAGCUCUUGGGCUGUGAUAGCUGAUCUACACGAUUGCUUCCAUGCCAUGAUCAUGUUUAUCUCUGAAUUAUUGAAAACCUGAAAACCUGUUUCUAUGACAAAGAAAGGCUUCAGAAAGUUUUGGGGGGGGUUCUGCCUUGAUAAAAGUGGAGUAAUUGUAAGUCAAGGUCAAGCCCUCCCUGUACUGUUUCCUUUUUGGACUGCAGACAAGGAUUGUGCCUUUAAUAAAUGAGUGGAUAGUCAUCUGGACGGUAAUUGGCCUAUGCCUCAUUAUUGAGAGGUGGACAGCUGCUGUAGAGGACAGCACAUUGACUGUACUGAUUACACCAAGACAAACACAUCACAAAUAAAUCUUAUAACACUCACUUUCUGCUAUUCAUUCAUACCCUCUGUCUUCUUAAGAUGGCACCUCACCAUCUCUGAUACUGCAGGGAAAAAUAUUAUUAAUAACAAGCUUCACUGAUUCACUUAUUAUACAAAAUUAAAUGUUUUCAGCAGAGCUUCUCUCUGUAUGAAUCAGGAUCUGAUUUAACAUGUCUUUGGAGGAUUUGCCUAACGCUGUUGCCAUUGUUGCAAAAUAUUCAAAUUCUCCACUUUCAGUCGCAGCGUCAGUGCCUGUUUUUCACAGAGCUGCUGUGUGGCAGGAAAAGACGCUGCGAUGAUGGCGGGUGGAGAAGGGUGGAGGGAUUUUUCAGCCGUACUCCAUAUGUUGUGUCAUUUGGGGGCUUGCUGGUGUCUGUGUAUGCUUGGCAAGUCUUGGCUCCUUUUCUCUGUUCAUGGUGUCUGUGCACCCGUCUCUGUCAUCACCCACCUGCCCCUCUGCCUCUGGACCUGGCACAGCACAAUGUCUCACCUCCUCGACAACAUGAAAGUAAAAUGAAAUGAAAAGUAAACUCAAUUGAACUUGCCCACAAAAUUAUAAAUGCAGUACAUCCACAAUGUAUAUCAGCAGGAUCACACUCAAUUUGUCAGUAUUUUAGUUUAGUAGACACCUCUGUGUCUGUGUACUUACUAGUAUUGCACAUGAAUUUCUAGAGGGCUGUAUUGUCUCACAUUGAAAUCAACAAGUUUAGCAAAUACAGGGAAUGACCAUCGCAGCAUUUACAGUGUUUGUCAUGCCAGCUGCUGCAUUUUUCAAACAUUUAUAAUUUGUGAAACCACUGACUGCAUGUCAAUGAAAAUUACAAAUGACUUCAAGAGACAACAUGACAUGAAACAAAAAAUAAUAAUAAAAAAGCAAAAAAAUAUAAACGUGAAACAAUUGCAAAAAAUGCAAUUGUAAAAAAAUCAGGUAGCAAACCAAACUUGUUAAUAUAUUUAUUUUAACGUAUAAAUUCAUAAAGAGAACAUCUGACAUGCUUACCA
rnacentral:lncRNA from 1 species